rnacentral:rRNA from 1 species
UCAACUUUUUCUUGACUUACACAUGCAAGUAUCAGCACACCCGUGAGAACGCCCUUUUACCCUUUAUAGGACAAGGAGCUGGUAUCAGGCUCAGUUUUCUAGCCCACAACACCUAGUUUUGCCACACCCUCAAGGGUAUUCAGCAGUGAUUAACAUUGUUUAUAAGCGCCAGCUUGACUCAGUCAAAGAACCUAGAGCCGGCCAAUACGGUGCCAGCCGCCGCGGCUACACCGCUAGGCUCAAGUUGAUAUUAAUCGGCGUUAAGCGUGUUUAAAGUGCAUAAAAAGAUUAGAAUUAAACUUAAACCAAGCUGUGACACGCUUGUUUUUAAGAAAAACAAAAACGAAAGUUAUUCUAACCAAACCACUUGAACCCACGACAGCUAAGACACAAACUGGGAUUAGGUACCCCACUAUGCCUAGCCGUAAAAUAUUUAUUUACUCCUUUAACCGCCCGGGGAUUACGAGCCCAAGCUUAAAACCCAAAGGACUUGACGGUGCCCCACCCACCUAGAGGAGCCUGUUCUAUAAUCGAUUCUCCCCGAUAUACCUCACCACUUCUAGCCUAUCAGCCUGUAUACCUCCGUCGUAAGCUUACCAUAUGAACGCUUUUUAGUGAGCUAAAAGAUGAUUUAGAAGUAAAAAGAAAAUAGAGUGUUCUUUUUAAUUAGGCGCUGGGACGCGUACACACCGCCCGUCACCCUCUUCAAACGCUUUAUUAAGUUUAUAACAAUAUGUUGCAACACAGAAGAGGUAAGUGGUAACACGGUAAGCGUACUGGAAAGUGCGCUUGGAUAAACAAAAUGUAGAUUAAUCAAAGCAUGUCGCUUACACCGAGAACAUAUCUGUGAUACCAGAUCAUUUUGAGCUAAAAACUUGGCUUUACUUGUCUAAAAUGUUCACCCAUACCUUUUACACACAAAAUAAAAC